rnacentral:rRNA from 1 species
CGGAGCCGUAGCGAAAGCGAGUCUGAACAGGGCGAAUGAGUAAGCAGAUGUAGACCCGAAACCAAGUGACCUACCCAUGACCAGGUUGAAGGUGUGGUGAAACACACUGGAGGACCGAACCCAUGUAUGUUGAAAAAUGCUGGGAUGAGUUGUGGGUAGCGGUGAAAUUCCAAACGAACUUGGAGAUAGCUGGUUCUCUCCGAAAUAGCUUUAGGGUUAGCCUCGGAGGAUGGAUCAUGGAGGUAGAGCACUGUUUGAACUAGGGGCCCAUCAAGGGUUACUGAAUUCAGAUAAACUCCGAAUACCAUCGAUCUUACUCCGGGAGUCAGACAGUGAGCGAUAAGGUCCAUUGUCGAAAGGGGAACAGCCCAGAUCACCAGUUAAGGUCCCUAAAUUUAUGCUAAGUGGAAAAGGAUGUGGCGUUGCACAGACAACUAGGAUGUUGGCUCAGAAGCAGCCACCAUUUAAAGAGUGCGUAAUAGCUCACUAGUCGAGUGGCACUGCGCCGAAAAUAUACCGGGGCUAAGCAUAAUACCGAAACUGUGGGUGCACCCGUAAGGGUGCGCGGUAGGAGAGCGUUCUAAGGGCGUUGAAGGUCGAUCGUGAGGACGGCUGGAGCGCUUAGAAGUGAGAAUGCCGGCAUGAGUAGCGAAAGAUCAGUGAGAAUCUGAUCCACCGUAUGACUAAGGUUUCCUGGGGAAGGCUCGUCCUCCCAGGGUUAGUCGGGAUCUAAGGCGAGGCCGAGAGGCGUAGUCGAUGACAAGCAGGUUGAGAUUCCUGCACUAGUUUAUUUUGUUUAAGCGAUGGAGGGACGCAGGAGGCUAAGGAAAGCGCACGGCUGGAAAUGUGCGCCCAAGCA